rnacentral:rRNA from 1 species
UACGGAGGGGACUAGCGUUGUUCGGAAUUACUGGGCGUAAAGCGCACGUAGGCGGAUAUGUCAGUCAGGGGUGAAAUCCCGGGGCUCAACCUCGGAACUGCCUUUGAUACAGCAUAUCUUGAGUCCGAUAGAGGUGGGUGGAAUUCCUAGUGUAGAGGUGAAAUUCGUAGAUAUUAGGAAGAACACCGGUGGCGAAGGCGGCCCACUGGAUCGGUACUGACGCUGAGGUGCGAAAGCGUGGGGAGCAAACAGG